ACUUGAACAACAAUAAAAAAUAUAAAUAAAUAAGAAGCAACCAGUUUUACUAAUUGUUAUAAAUAAGAGUUGAGUUCUGAUGGCAUAUUUCUAGUCAUAAAAACACCAAACUUCUAAAUAAAGACCCAAAACAUUUCUAAUAUUAAACAUUGAAAUAAAUGUGAACUAUACAUGCACUUAAGAAAGAUUAAUAAAAACAAAAACAAGAUUAUUAUUUUCCAACCUGCCUAUGCCAGUUCAGGGUCAUGGUGGCUAGAGUCAGUCCUGGUAGCUUAGGGUACAAGGCAGGACUAGCCCUGGACAAGACAUCCUUCCAUUGCGGAGCCUCUCCCUACACCCACACUCACUCAGACUGGGACCAUUUAGAUACAACGGUCCACCUCAUGUGCACAUCUUUUGGAUGUGGGAGGAACCCGAGUCUGUGAAGAAAAUCCACACAGAUGAUGGUGAAAAGUGGAAACUCCGCACAGUAGCCCCAGCAGGGAAUCAAUUUUUUUUCUAGUUAAUGUUAAAAUGAAAUAGCAUUGAAUAAAAGAAAGCUAUUUGAGGGCCUGAUGUAUAUCAAAUCAUCACAUUGUACAUCCUAAGCAUAUACAAUAUUAUAUGUGCAUCAUAUCUCAAUAAAGCUGGAAAAAACAUUAGCAAGUGUUAAUAUCAUAUCUUAUCUAAAAGGGAGGUUUUUGUCUAUGGCAAUACUAACUAUGAUGACAUCUAACAUUGGAAAGAAGUUAUUGGUCCAGAAGCUGGACCUACACUUUCUCUGUGAGAGGGCUUGGCACAGUGACAUCCACAGCAGUUGUGGAAAUGCCACUGUGGAGACAGUGAGGCUUGGAUGCACAACAGAGUUUUCAUUCAAAAUCAGGUUCUUUUUCGCUGGUCUCCCAAGUUAUUUCCAGACGUUAGCCACUUACAGAAAUAAUAAAUCUUCUCUCAUUUGGAAAUUAAAAAUAUGUUUUUUGACUUGAAACACAGCACAAAUAUUCCUUGGCUUCAUUUUGUUUUGUACCUGGUGAGCUUACUAUUGCUCUUAUCCUUUAUACAGACCUGUCACUGGUUUCAUAUGUGAGGUGUCUGAGCAUGAAGUGCCCAACUCACACUUUGCAAUAGUAUCUGUAACGGUUUUAUCGUCUCUUCCAUGUUAAUGAAACCCACAGCUAAACAACUAAUGCCCUGUACUCAUUGCUUGUCCUCAGAGCUGAGUGUUUCAGGUCUAAUUCUCUUUAGAACACAGCUGGCAUGGAGUGUUCAAAAGCUCCUUUGGUUACUUUAACCACUUACAUACUAAUUUGGUGGCAUGGAAAGCAUUAGGCUGUGUCCAAACAAACAGCACAAAGCAGAAUAUUUAGCAAUUUUCUGAACAUUAUCAAUGGAGUAAGUCAUUUUGGUUGAUGUUUCUAGUUAAAAAACAGAUGUUUGAGUUGUCAAGAUGCUUCAAACUAAGUGUUUGUUGAAAUAAACAUUAGCUUAGCAGAUUCCUUUCAUUGCAGAAGCAUUCUAAACAACAGGCAAGGUGUAAAAUUUGGAAAUCUGUGGGCCUUGAAGAAACUAGGAAUGCUGUAAAAGAUUAUGUAGUUUUCCAAAUGAGUUGUAAGUAUAGCCAGACUUGGGACAUGAUUAUUAUAUUAAUGAAUGAGGGAAUGAAUGGUUAAAUUUUGUAACCAUUUUGGCCUAUACUGGAUCGAUUAGAUAAAUUUUGUAUUCUUACUAUAUGUGAGUUCUGUAGAUACCCUUCCUUGUUUACUCAGCUCUUCUUGUACAUAUUAGAUAUUUGACCCUGCAAGUAAUGACCCAAGUGACCCCUUUCGUGUGGGCCCAUACACACUUACAGUGAUCCCAUUUGAAGGUUUCACCUUUACUACCUUAUUGCUAAUGCUGAUGUAAAAGUUUGGUCUGUAGGCACCCAUAACACAACUGGCAAGCAGGGUAACCUUUCAAGCAAUGUGGAAACUGCUGUUCAUUGGAAGAAACAUAAGUAUUCAUGGGACAUUUAGUAUGUGCCUAACAGUUUGCUAGAUUUUAUGAAAAACAGCUUCACCCAUGGGGAGCGGACAACCUAAUUGGAGGAAAAAUCCAACUCACAUGGAACAAUUAGAAGAAAUGAAAGGUAUUAUGUGGUACAGGUUAUUAGAGCCAAGGAUAAUAAGGUGUUAAUUGUGUGGGAUAGACAGUAAAUCUCAAAGGAGUGGAAGACCGUGGAGAUCAACAUGGGCUGAGGUCACCCGGAAAGCCUUUCAAAACAAACCAGCAAUCUUUAUAAGCCCCUUCUGUGUUCAGAGCAUUGUGGAGCUAGGGAGAAGGGUGAUCACAGAGAUGGGACUUAAGCAGGAUCUGAGAGGAUGAGAAGAGUACUGACAGGCCAAGAAGAGAAGAGUGAAACCCUUGGGAACCAGGAAUUCAAACAUGAAAAGAAGCAGCAAACGGGAAGCUAGCUACUCCUGGGAAAUGAUGCCUCAUUAUCCUUUGUAUUCAUGCUGACAGGAAAGACUUGACAAGUUGUGACUGUUUCUUAACCUAAACGCUUCUGCUGCCCCAAAAGCCCCACCCUCCAAAGAUGUGUCCCCUGACCUCCAGAAGACAGCUUCCCACCCUCAGGAUGAAGCCAGUUCUGUCUCCCAAGACUCAAGGCAAGACAUCAGGGGAAUCACCCCACUGGAGCCUGAAUAGUGCUCCUCACAUAGUGGUUGGAUGUUUAGGGUGGUUUGUGGGGCUGUGCAGCACUGAGCACUGAGUUCCAAGGGACCACGUGUCCUCUAAAUAUAUUUUGUGUGUGUUUGUGACCCUCAUGGCUCCCCAAAGUGCAAGGCCCAGGCUCCAAGGCUGGUGAUGCUCCUGAGCGUCACUUGUGAUUGAGGUCUCCACAGAUUGCAAGAGUGGAAGGACCCCUCAGGAUGAUGUAGUGGGUGAGGGCUGGUGUCAGAGGGAGAGGCUGCCAGCAUGAAGUCUUUACCUGUAAAUAUUUCCCAUUGUGAAAUAGCCUGGUCUUCAUAAAGUCACCAGAUUCUACCAGGAGACAAUAAAAGAUUACAAGGGUCCAAAUAAAUAUGUAACAAAGUGGAGUCGGAAACUGGGAGAAAAUGAGGUGAAACACAAGAGAAUGAUGAUCAGAAAUAGGGAAUGAAAACCAGUCAAAAAUGGAGACACCUGAAAAGCAGCUCUGGAAACUUCACUCACUACUGCUGUACAAGAGACCUGCUCUAGUCACAGCUGCCAAUGUGACAAUAUUUGGCUGUUUUGUAUUUACACUGAAGUACAGAGACUUUGGAAACCUUCAAGAGUGAAUUCAGUACCAGAGAACAGUAUUUAAAAAAAAAAAAAAA